GGGAGGACAGGGGAGGACAGGUGAGGAAGGUGAGGACAGGGGAGGACAGGUACAGACAGGUGAGGAAGGUGAGGACAGGGGGGGACAGGUACAGACAGGUGAGGAAGGUGAGGACAGGGAAGGACGGGAGGACAGGUACAGACAGGUGAGGAAGGUGAGGACAGGGGAGGACUGGUACAGACAAUUGAGGACAGGUACAGGUGAAGACAGGUACAGGCAGGUGAGGACAGGUACAGGUGAGGACAGGGGAGGACAGGUACAGGCAGGUGAGGACAGGUACACACAGGUACAGACAGGUACAAACAGGGGAGGACAGAUGAGGACAGGUAUAGGCUGGUACAGAUGGGUACAGGCAGGUACAGGCAGGUGAGGACAGGUACAGACACGUGAGGACAGGUACAGGCGGGUACAGGCAGGUGAGGACAGGUGAGAACAGGUACAGGCAGGUGAGGACAGGUACCGACAGGUACAGGCAGGGGUGCGGGCAGAGCUCUGCCGAGCUCCCACCUUCCCAUGCUCACGGCACAUCCCGGUGCCAGAGGCCGCCCACACCCGCCCAGGUGAGCGGGCAGGUGCUGGUGCCCCGGUGCUCAGCUCUUUUCCCGUGCGCUGCCAGGUGAGCGGGCAGGUGCUGUGCCCCGGUGCUGAGCUCUUUUCCCGUGCGCUGCCAGGUGAGCGGGCAGGUGCUGUGCACGGGUGCUGAGCCCUUUUCCCGUGCGCUGCCAGGUGAGCGGGCAGGUGCUGUGCCCCAGUGCUGAGCCCUUUUCCCGUGCGCUGCCAGGUGAGCGGGCAGGUGCUGGUGCCCCGGUGCUGAGCCCUUUUCCCGUGCGCUGCCAGGUGAGCGGGCAGGUGCUGUGCACGGGUGCUGAGCUCUUUUCCCGUGCGGUGCCAGGUGAGCGGGCAGGUGCUGUGCACAGGUGCUGAGCCCUUUUCCCGUGCGCUGCCAGGUGAGCGGGCAGGUGCUGUGCACAGGUGCUGAGCUCUUUUCCCAUGCGC